rnacentral:rRNA from 1 species
UACGUAGGGUGCGAGCGUUGCCCGGAUUUAUUGGGCGUAAAGGGCGCGUAGGCGGCUUGACAAGUCCCGGGUGAAAUCCCUCGGCUCAACCGAGGAACUGCCUUGGAAACUGUCUGGCUUGAGGCCGGGAGAGGGUAGUGGAAUUCCCAGUGUAGCGGUGAAAUGCGUAGAUACUGGGAGGAACACCGGUGGCGAAGGCGGCUACCUGGACCGGUUCUGACGCUGAGGCGCGAAAGCGUGGGUAGCAAACAGG